UACGUAGGGGGCAAGCGUUGUCCGGAUUUAUUGGGCGUAAAGAGCGUGUAGGCGGCUAGGUAGGUCCGUUGUGAAAACUCGAGGCUCAACCUCGAGACGCCGAUGGAAACCAUCUAGCUAGAGUCCGGUAGGGGAUCACGGAAUUCCUGGUGUAGCGGUGAAAUGACGCAGAUAUCAGGAGGAACACCGGUGGCGAAGGCGGUGAUCUGGGCCGGCACUGACGCUGAGGAGCGAAAGCGUGGGUAGCAAACAGG
rnacentral:rRNA from 1 species